GAUGAACGCUGGCGGCGUGCUUAACACAUGCAAGUCGAACGGUGAACACGGAGCUUGCUCUGUGGGAUCAGUGGCGAACGGGUGAGUAACACGUGAGCAACCUGCCCCUGACUCUGGGAUAAGCGCUGGAAACGGCGUCUAAUACUGGAUAUGUGACGUGGCCGCAUGGUCUGCGUUUGGAAAGAUUUUUCGGUUGGGGAUGGGCUCGCGGCCUAUCAGCUUGUUGGUGAGGUAAUGGCUCACCAAGGCGUCGACGGGUAGCCGGCCUGAGAGGGUGACCGGCCACACUGGGACUGAGACACGGCCCAGACUCCUACGGGAGGCAGCAGUGGGGAAUAUUGCACAAUGGGCGCAAGCCUGAUGCAGCAACGCCGCGUGAGGGAUGACGGCCUUCGGGUUGUAAACCUCUUUUAGCAGGGAAGAAGCGAAAGUGACGGUACCUGCAGAAAAAGCGCCGGCUAACUACGUG
rnacentral:rRNA from 1 species